GUGAAAUAGUGAAGGAUGAGCAACUAAAAUCUACCAAACCUGGGGGGAGUUUGAGCUUCUGCACCUGCUAUGCUCCCCAAAGUGUGUGUGGGCUCUGCUGUUUUUUUGGUUUUUCUUAAGGAAAAAGCCCUUUCCAAAAUUUUCUGGCUUUCAGACUUGGCAAGUAACUUAGCAAAACAAACACUGAAUGAAUGCCGAGAGAAGAGCAUCUGAUUAGAUGUUGCAUGUUAAUCAUAACCCUAUUUUAUUUCUGUUUUCAAACAGUAGAACAGAAUAAGCCACAUUAAAAGUAUGACCUUUGAAAGCCACAA